GUUGUUGUCGUGGCGUUGAUGAUGUUGUUGUUGUCGUGGCGUUGAUGAUGUUGAUGUUGUUGUCGAUGGUGGUGAUGAUGUUGAUGUUGUCGAUGGUGGUGAUGAUGAUGACGGCUGUGGUUAUUGUGCUGGCGGUUGAUUUUACUGGUGUGGAUGAUAGUGGCGGUCUUGAUGAUGGUGGUGACGAUUACUGUUAUGGUUUUGAUGAUUAUAGUGGUGGUAUUGAUAAUGAUGGUAGUAGUGGUACUGAUGAUGACGAUGAUAGUGGGGGUAUUGAUGAUGACAGAAGCAGUAUGUAUGGUGACGAUGAUUGUGGUAUUUGACGAUCAUGGUGAUGAUAGUGGGGCUAUUGGUGAAGAUGACGACAACAGUAGCGGAUGAUAGUGGUGGAAUUGAUAAUGAUCGUAUUGAUUACGAAGAUGAGUGUGGAUGUAUUGAUCAUUAUUGUGGUGGUAUUGAUGACGACGACGACGAUGACGACGAUGAUGAAAUCACUACAGCGGAAUAUUAACUUCUGAUCUCUCAAUCAAGGGUCCCCACCUGAAAUCAACUCAACUUUAAAAUCCCCUGCAAGCCUGGGGGGGGGGGGGGUGAAUUCAGUGAGCGCCCAUUAACCCUUUCCCAUCGGUACCGAGGCUGCCACAAGGCCACGCGGAAAAGGGCGUUGUGGCACAGCUGGGGGGCGCCGGCUAUCGUUAGUGGCCGUGGUCGUGUGGCCACAGUUCUCCGCGGUGAGCAACGUCAUCUUUAAAAACAGCGGCGCUGCGACUACGCCGCCCCCACCCCCCCGCCCGGAGCAACUUGGCUUACGCACGUCUCGGAGGAGCGGGAAAUGGUGAACUCACGCGAGCAGGACACAGAGGAGUCGCUCGUCUUCCCUGUGCAGCUGACAGCGAUCACCGCAUGAGCACGAGAUCGGGGGUGGGCCUUCGUCCAGCAGUGCAGGGACACUGCCGUGACGUCACGGUCAGCAACACCACACCAGCUUUAACCUCUCAACAGGGUUGAAAGCAAAGUCAGCUGGGAAAACGCCACGCCGACACGCACCGGGACCGGCUGGCCGACUCCGCAGUGUGGGCGACAAGUCGAGUACCUCGCCCGGUAUACAGGAGGUCGUGGGUUCCAUGAUCCCGACCUUGACGUCACAGUGGCUAGGAGAUGUCAACUACCUCGCCUGGUAUACA